UCUACCUGACUAGGAAGCCGUGUGCGGUGAGGUGUGUGUAAGGCGCCGGACUUGUCACCAGUACCUGUCGUGGCCAUCGUUCUGUGAAGAAGACACUCUAGACCCAGCAGAUAAUAUGCUGAUGCUACAUUCCCUUCUAUUCCAAUGCUAUAUGAAAGUGAGAAGGACCGUGUGAGCUUUAGAGCUUGGAGGAUUUUGGACUUUCUGUCUCCUCAUUGACAUCCUAGCAGUACCCCUGGAAAAGUUAAUAGCAAUGUCUGCAUCAGGAGCCAAGGACAGAAUGGAUGCAGAAUCAAGGCUGUACAAGGGGCCCAGAAGAAGCUCCCCGAUGCCUAAGAGGAACAGCUUGAGGAUUCCAGCAAAAGCACUUCCAGGAAUUGGGAGGAAGCUGAGACCCAAAGCAGGAAAGUGACUUGCCC